GGCUAGUGAGAUGGCUCAGUGGGUAAAAGCACUGACUGUUCUUCUGAAAGUCCUGGGUUCAAAUCCCAGCAGCCA
rnacentral:tRNA from 1 species